AAAACAUCUAUCGCGGCCAUCUUUCCUAGCGGUACGUCAAGCGCUCUUAUGUUCCUCGUUUCGUUUUCUUAUAAUUUUCGUGGCCGAUUCUCGCGAUUAAUCAUCAUAAAGUAGAAUUAAGUUUGUUUUCAGUGGUGAAGUGCUGACGGAUAGUGUUUUUUCGGUGACACGACUAAUAUUUACCGCGACAAUUUCGUUCGAAAACUUCAGGUCUGCAUCAAUUACGCCAGCGACGGGAACGAUUUUCUGUCGCGCUGACAACGAGAGAUUCAAAGAAAAGAAGGGUAUUCAUUUUGGAAAUUCGAUAAAGCAUGUGGAAUGCGGAAACCCGUCAAAAUGGUACUAAGAUCCAGUCAACGACAAAUUCGUCCUCGGCUAAUCCCACAUCUGGAGGGAAGCCCCCGGGCACGGCGAAAACUCUGGGUAUGACCUCCGCCAUAAGUAUGGCCGAACCGAAACCAGAAGACAUCCAGAAAACAAAAGAAUUGGAGAAAGCCCUUGAACCUUAUAAUGUAUUCGAAACAGAAGCCGAAUUAAAUCAUCGUAUGGAGAUUUUAGCAAAGUUAAACACAUUGGUUAAACAAUGGGUGCGUGACGUGGCUAUAUCGAGGAACAUGCCGCCACAAAUGGCUGAAAAGUUAGGGGGAAAAAUCUACACAUUUGGUUCAUAUCGACUGGGGGUACAUCAUAAAGGAGCUGAUAUAGAUGCUCUGUGUGUGGCGCCGUGUAAUAUUGAGAGAUCCGAUUAUUUCACAUCAUUUUUCGAGUUGCUGAAAAAACAACCCGAAGUGACAGAGUGUCGGUCAGUGGAGGAGGCAUUUGUGCCGGUUAUAAAAAUGAACUUUGAUGGUGUGGAAAUCGAUUUGCUGUUUGCUCGUUUAGCACUUAAGGAGAUCCCUGACAAUUUCGAUUUGCGGGAUGACAUGUUGCUGAAAAAUUUAGAUCCGAAAUCAGUUCGAAGUUUGAACGGUUGCCGCGUGACGGAUGAGAUUCUGAGUCUCGUACCAAACAUAGAUAACUUUCGUUUAGCAUUAAGAGCGAUAAAGUUAUGGGCAAAAAAACAUGGUAUCUAUUCGAAUUCCCUUGGUUAUUUUGGAGGUGUUACGUGGGCCAUGCUGGUAGCCCGAACUUGCCAACUAUAUCCUAAUGCCGCGCCUGCCACCUUAGUGCAUAAGUUCUUUUUAGUUUGUUCGAGAUGGAAGUGGCCACAUCCGGUGUUGCUAAAACAUCCAGAAAAUAUUAAUCUGGGCUUUCCGGUUUGGGAUCCUCGAGUGAAUAUAUCUGAUCGGUAUCAUCUAAUGCCAAUUAUAACACCUGCAUAUCCACAACAAAAUUCUACAUUUAAUGUCACCGAGUCCACAAAGAAAGUAAUUUUGGCGGAAUUCAAUAGAGGCAUGGCGACCACGGAGGAAAUAAUGUUAUGUAAAGCGACAUGGGAUCGGUUAUUCGAAGCGCCUAGUUUCUUUUAUAGGUACCGACACUUCAUUGUUUUACUGGUUAGCUCAAACACAGCCGAGGACCAUUUGGAGUGGUGUGGAUUAGUGGAAUCAAAAAUACGUCUAUUAGUGGGGAACCUAGAGCGUAACCAACAUAUUUCUUUAGCACAUGUUAAUCCAAAAUGUUUUGAUAUUUAUCGACAGAAAGGUAGCCAAAAUGCUAGUACAAAUAAUUGCGAUGAAAAUUCAAGCAAUCCUUCGGACGAAAAUUCUAAGCCAAUCGCACCAUUUUGUUCAAUGUGGUUUAUUGGGCUUGAAUUUGAACGUAUGGAAAAUUUAAAUGUCGAUUUAACUGAUAGUAUACAGAGUUUCACAGCACAAGUUCAUUCACAUGCAGUAAACAUAAAAAUGCUAAAGAUGGGAAUGCAAAUUGAAGCGCGACAUGUGAAACGAAAACAGCUAAAUCAGUAUCUAGACCCAGAACUACUCAAGCGCGAAAGACGGAGCACAGAGCACCACAAUAGUUUCUCAAACUCAAUGAUGGCAUCGAAAAAGCGGCUGUCAUCGGAGCUAUCGUCUCAACCUCAAAAGAAGAAUCGAAACAGCGAGACCCAGCCACAACAGCACGAAGAAAAUUCAAAUGCAUCGUCAGUAGGCAGCGAAGUGUCUACGUCAUCGUCAACGGCAAAGGCGUCACGAACACCGACCACUCCUGAUGCAUCAUUGGCGUCGUUGCGACAUCCACCGCUGCUAACAUCAUCUACAUCGGCGAAGGCGUCGUCAUCAUUAUCGUCCACGGAAGUGUCGUCAUCGAUAACUACGACUACAAUUCCAUCUAUGAGCAGUUGCAAUGAUGUUGAUCAUCAAUCUGCAGACGCUUCGAAGACGACGAAAUCUUCAUCGACGGCAUCGGCGGGAACAAGUGCGCCAGAAGUGGCCUGUUCGUGACAACAGAACUUCCAUGAAUCCGAGAAUGAGAACGGAGCAAUUUUGACUACGGUUACUUUGUGAAGCCGCCAAAUUACAAAAAAAGUGGAUAUGCAAGUAAUCAACAGUCAACAAUGCUUUCUUCAAACAAUAUAGGAGGCUGAGUCCACGUAUAAUCCUUGUAUAAAUACUUUUAAUAAGUUUCAGGAAAAAGGCAAAAAUGAAGAAAAAAAAAUAUAAAAACUCAGUAAAAAAAAUCUUCAAAAAACACGAAAAUUUAUACAAAAAAUAUUGCAUAUUAUGUAUAAGCAGUUACACCUACAUACACGCUCGCGUGAAAGUGUACAAGUGUAUUAUCCAGGAGAUAAUCGAUAUAAAAGUACGGAGAACCUAUCGAAAAGUUUGGGUUCGAAACAUUUACAAAUGUAUAACGGUUAUGAACUGCGCAUAUGAUUCGGUUCGAUCAGCAGAUAAGGCGUAUUGAUUGCAGUCGUUAAUGUUGGCUGCUCUGUUUGCCUGUGCUCCAAUGGAAAUUAAGUCGUGCUGGACAUCUGACUUGAUUCGAGGACCUUGAUGUUGGUAUCGGAAGGAGCACUUUAUUUUCGUUCUCAUUUCAUACUGUUGCAAUCAAUUACAUGCGCAUUUGUAACCUUAUAUGGCACCUUGGUUUCGCAUACUUGAUUAAGUUACUAGAUUGGUUUAGUGUAUAAGGACAUUGUUCAGAAGUAUUGUGUGAGUUUCUGAGGAAGUACUAACUGGUCUUCAGUGUGGAUAAUAAGCGAAUCUUCUUUUCCAUUUGAAUUGGAGUUCCUGCCGCUUCUGUUUGUCAGUAAAUUGACAAUAUGUGCUAAUCAAUAGCAUGGAAGCACUCUCAUAAUAAAAUUCGAUAAUUUUAUAUUCGCAA